rnacentral:rRNA from 1 species
CCUACGGGGGGCAGCAGUGAGGAAUAUUGGUCAAUGGACGAGAGUCUGAACCAGCCAAGUAGCGUGAAGGAUGAAUGCCCUAUGGGUUGUAAACUUCUUUUAUAAGGGAAUAAAAUGUGGCACGUGUGGGAUUUUGUAUGUACCAUAUGAAUAAGGAUCGGCUAACUCCGUGCCAGCAGCCGCGGUAAUACGGAGGAUCCGAGCGUUAUCCGGAUUUAUUGGGGUUAAAGGGCGCGUCGGUGGCUUGUUAAGUCAGUUGUGAAAGUUUGCGGCUCAACCGUAAAAUUGCCGUUGAAACUGGCAGUCUUGAGUACAGUAGAGGUGUGCGGAAUUCGUGGUGUAGCUGUG